rnacentral:rRNA from 1 species
AGGACGAACGCUGGCGGCGUGCUUAACACAUGCAAGUCGAACGGUAAGGCCCUUCGGGGUACACGAGUGGCGAACGGGUGAGUAACACGUGAGCAACCUGCCCUUGACUUCGGAAUAACAGUUGGAAACAGCCGCUAAUACCGAAUAUGACCGCAUGCGUCAUCGCAUGCGGUGGAAAGCUCCGGCGGUCAAGGAUGGGCUCGCGGCCUAUCAGCUUGUUGGUGAGGUAACGGCUCACCAAGGCUUCGACGGGUAGCCGGCCUGAGAGGGCGACCGGCCACGACUGGGACUGAGAUACGGCCCAGACUCCUACGGGAGGCAGCAGUGGGGAAUAUUGCACAAUGGGCGAAAGCCUGAUGCAGCAACGCCGCGUGCGGGAUGACGGCCUCGGUUGUAAACCGCUUUCAGCAGGACGAAGCGCAAGUGACGGUACCUGCAGAAGAAGCACCGGCCAACUACGUCGCCAGCAGCCGC